GUCGAACGCUGGCGGCGUGCUUAACACAUGCAAGUCGAGCGGAGCGGCGAACGGGCGAGUAACGCACGAGUAUCUGCCCCCCUCUUUGGGAUAACAGUUGGAAACGGAAGCUAAUACCGGAUAGUGGGGGAUGACUCGCGUCCUAUCAGCUUGGUGGUGGGGUAGUGGCCUACCAAGGCGACGACGGGUAGCCGGCCUGAGAGGGCGACCGGCCACAUUGGGCUGAGAUACGGCCCAAACUCCUACGGGAGGCAGCAGUGGGGAAUAUUGCACCAUGGGGGAAACACUGAUGCAGCAACGCCGCGGGCGGGAUGACGGCCUUCGGGUUGUAAACCGCUUUCAGCCAUGACGCGGUAGUGGCAGAAGAAGCACCGGCUCACUACGUGCCAGCCGCCGCGGUAAUAC
rnacentral:rRNA from 1 species